rnacentral:lncRNA from 1 species
CUGAGAGCUCAGCCUGCUGAGGGAAGACGCGUUGGAGUGACCUGAGCCACCUAAAAGAAUAUUCUGUCCGAGUGGAGCUGAGACCAAGAUUAGGACAAAGAGAGAAACCACGCAACAUAAAAGCAGUCAGUUGCUUUAACACAAACUAACAACAAGUGGCGUAAACUGAAAAUGAGAGACUACUGAAAAUGAGAAAGAGUAACAGAACGUGGGGCACUGCGGAGAUGGGGYAGAAUAUAGGACCAAGUGUA